CGCGGUAUAGUGACCGUGCGAAGGUAGCAUAAUCAUUAGUCUUUUAAUUGAAGGCUUGUAUGAAUGGUUGGACGAAAAGUGAUCUGUCUCUGUUGAAAUAAUUGAAUUUAACUUUUGAGUGAGAAGGCUUAAAUGAUCUAGAGGGACGAUAAGACCCUAUAAAGUUUAACAUUAUAAUAAUAAAAAGUUAAUUGGAAUUGUAAGAUUUAUUAUUGUGAAUAGUGUUUUGUUGGGGCGACAAGAAUAUAAAUAAUUUAACUGUUCUUUUUUGUAUCAAAGAUAUUUGAGUUAAUGAUCUUUUUAAGAGUAUUAGAGUAAAUUACUUUAGGGAUAACAGCGUAAUUUUUUUUGAGAGUUCUUAUCGACAAAAGAGUUUGCGACCUCGAUGUUGAAUUAAAGAUUCUUUAUAAUGCAGAAGUUAUAUAAG
rnacentral:rRNA from 1 species